GCUAGCGGCGGGUGAGUAGCGCGUACAACAAUCUACCUUAAGUGAGGGAUAGCCUAUGGAAACGUAGAAAUAAUACCUCAUGGUAUGGGAUAUCGCAUGGUAAUUGAUUAAAGAUUUAUUGCUUAAAGAUGAGUGUGCGUCCUAUAGCUAGAUGGUAAGGUAACGGCUUACCAUGGCGACGAUAGGUAGGGGGCGGGAGAGCGUGGACCCCCACACGGGUACUGAGACACGGACCCGACUCCUACGGGAGGCAGCAGUAAGGGAAUAUUGGACAAUGGGGCGGGAAGCCUGAUCCAGCCAUGCCCGCGUGCAGGAAGACGGCCCUACGGGUUGUAAACUGCUUUUGUAUGGGAAGAAUGGCCCUGACGUGUCAGGGACGCGACGGUACCAUAAGAAUAAGCACCGGCUAACUCCGUGCCAGCAGCCGCGGUAAUACGGAGGGUGCAAGCGUUAUCCGGAAAUUACUGGGUUUAAAAGGGUGCGUAGGCGGCUAUAUAAGUCAGGAGUGAAAGGUUCCCGCUAAACGGGAGAAGGUCUUUUGAUACUGUAUAGCUUGAAUAAGGUUGAGGUUAGCGGAAUGUGACAUGUAGCGGUGAAAUGCAUAGAUAUGUCAUAGAACACCAAUUGCGAAGGCAGCUGGCUAGACCUAUAUUGACGCUGAGGCACGAAAGCGUGGGGAGCGAACAGGAUUAGGUACCCUGGUAGUCCACGCCCUA
rnacentral:rRNA from 1 species